rnacentral:rRNA from 1 species
GGCCCGCACAAGCGGUGGAGCAUGUGGUUUAAUUCGACGCAACGCGAAGAACCUUACCUGGCCUUGACAUGCAGAGAACUUUCCAGAGAUGGAUUGGUGCCUUCGGGAACUCUGACACAGGUGCUGCAUGGCCGUCGUCAGCUCGUGUCGUGAGAUGUUGGGUUAAGUCCCGUAACGAGCGCAACCCUUGUCCUUAGUUGCCAGCACGUAAUGGUGGGAACUCUAGGGAGACUGCCGGUGACAAACCGGAGGAAGGUGGGGACGACGUCAGGUCAUCAUGGCCCUUACGACCUGGGCUACACACGUGCUACAAUGGCUGGUACAGAGGGUCGCGAAGUCGCGAGGCGAAGCUAAUCCCUUAAAGCCAGUCGUAGUCCGGAUCGGAGUCUGCAACUCGACUCCG